GUCGUCGCAGUCUACGCCGACGCAUGGUCUGCUGAUGGGCCGCCCGUACGGCACGGGGCGGCAAGAGACGAGAGGA
rnacentral:ncRNA from 1 species